UACAGAGGUCCCAAGCGUUACUGAGAAUCACUGGGUUUAAAGGGUGCGUAGGUGGUCCGUUAAGUCAGUUGUGAAAUCCCCGGGCUCAACCCGGGAACUGCUUCUGAUACUGGCGGACUUGAGGCCAGUAGAGGUCACUGGAACUGACGGUGGAGCGGUGAAAUGCGUAGAUAUCGUCAGGAACGCCGGUGGCGAAGGCGGGUCUCUGGGCCGAUACUGACGCUGAGGAGCGAAAGCGUGGGGAGCAAACAGG
rnacentral:rRNA from 1 species